GGUUAAGCGACUAAGCGUACACGGUGGAUGCCCUGGCAGUCAGAGGCGAUGAAGGACGUGCUAAUCUGCGAUAAGCGUCGGUGAGGUGAUAUGAACCGUUAUAACCGGCGAUUUCCGAAUGGGGAAACCCAGUGUGAUUCGUCACACUAUCGCAACAUGAAUACAUAGUGUUGCGAGGCGAACCGGGGGAACUGAAACAUCUAAGUACCCCGAGGAAAAGAAAUCAACCGAGAUUCCCCCAGUAGCGGCGAGCGAACGGGGAGCAGCCCAGAGCCUGAAUCAGCUUGUGUGUUAGUGGAAGCGUCUGGAAAGGCGCAGGGUACAGGGUGAUACUCCCGUACACGAAAGCACACAGGCUGUGAGCUCGAUGAGUAGGGCGGGACACGUGGUAUCCUGUCUGAAUAUGGGGGGACCAUCCUCCAAGGCUAAAUACUCCUGACUGACCGAUAGUGAACCAGUACCGUGAGGGAAAGGCGAAAAGAACCCCGGCGAGGGGAGUGAAACAGAACCUGAAACCGUGUACGUACAAGCAGUGGGAGCCUCUUUGUGGGGUGACUGCGUACCUUUUGUAUAAUGGGUCAGCGACUUAUAUUCUGUAGCAAGGUUAACCGUAUAGGGGAGCCGCAGGGAAACCGAGUCUUAACUGGGCGUUAAGUUGCAGGGUAUAGACCCGAAACCCGGUGAUCUAGCCAUGGGCAGGUUGAAGGUUGGGUAACACUAACUGGAGGACCGAACCGACUAAUGUUGAAAAAUUAGCGGAUGACCUGUGGCUGGGGGUGAAAGGCCAAUCAAACCGGGAGAUAGCUGGUUCUCCCCGAAAGCUAUUUAGGUAGCGCCUCGUGAACUCAUCCUCGGGGGUAGAGCACUGUUUCGGCAAGGGGGUCAUCCCGACUUACCAACCCGAUGCAAACUGCGAAUACCGGAGAAUGUUAUCACGGGAGACACACGGCGGGUGCUAACGUCCGUCGUGAAGAGGGAAACAACCCAGACCGCCAGCUAAGGUCCCAAAGUCAUGGUUAAGUGGGAAACGAUGUGGGAAGGCCCAGACAGCCAGGAUGUUGGCUUAGAAGCAGCCAUCAUUUAAAGAAAGCGUAAUAGCUCACUGGUCGAGUCGGCCUGCGCGGAAGAUGUAACGGGGCUAAACCAUGCACCGAAGCUGCGGCAGCAGUAGCGAUACUGUUGGGUAGGGGAGCGUUCUGUAAGCCGUCGAAGGUGGCCUGUGAGGGCUGCUGGAGGUAUCAGAAGUGCGAAUGCUGACAUAAGUAACGAUAAAGCGGGUGAAAAGCCCGCUCGCCGGAAGACCAAGGGUUCCUGUCCAACGUUAAUCGGGGCAGGGUGAGUCGACCCCUAAGGCGAGGCCGAAAGGCGUAGUCGAUGGGAAACAGGUUAAUAUUCCUGUACUUGGUGUUGCUGCGAAGGGGGGACGGAGAAGGCUAUGUUGGCCGGGCGACGGUUGUCCCGGUUUAAGCGUGUAGGCUGGUUUUCCAGGCAAAUCCGGAAAAUCAAGGCUGAGGCGUGAUGACGAGGCACUACGGUGCUGAAGCAACAAAUGCCCUGCUUCCAGGAAAAGCCUCUAAGCUCCAGGCAACACGAAAUCGUACCCCAAACCGACACAGGUGGUCAGGUAGAGAAUACCAAGGCGCUUGAGAGAACUCGGGUGAAGGAACUAGGCAAAAUGGUGCCGUAACUUCGGGAGAAGGCACGCUGAUAUGUAGGUGAAGCGACUUGCUCGUGGAGCUGAAAUCAGUCGAAGAUACCAGCUGGCUGCAACUGUUUAUUAAAAACACAGCACUGUGCAAACACGAAAGUGGACGUAUACGGUGUGACGCCUGCCCGGUGCCGGAAGGUUAAUUGAUGGGGUUAUCCGCAAGGAGAAGCUCUUGAUCGAAGCCCCGGUAAACGGCGGCCGUAACUAUAACGGUCCUAAGGUAGCGAAAU
rfam:Enhygromyxa salina strain DSM 15201 ES-Contig_244, whole genome shotgun sequence.